rnacentral:lncRNA from 1 species
GACAGGCUUAACCCCUCAGAAACGACUUUUUGAGUCACCCUUCAGAAAAGCUCAGAGAGCCUGUUCGCAGGCUAAUCCGUAGGGGGGGGGGGGUGGACAUUAAAUGGAAUGGCCCUAAGUUUUUCCGAAAAAUACAACGGAAAACUUCCGAUCUGGAGUGCAGCACUCACAAAACAACUGAAGAAUAAUACGAAUAGAUUUAAAAACACUGGAAUUAUAUCAAGUCUCUUAGAACUAGUAGUCUAAUUAUAGUUUGUUUUUUUUAUUCUACAUUUUGUCAUUUAUAAUAUUUUUACCUCCGGCUCCGUAUUUUUAUCCUCAGUAAGAUAUAAUUGUAAAGUUAUAUAUUAAUUAUUGUAAAAAUCAUGUAAUUCAACCUCCGGGCUGCGAGAUGAUUUGAUUUUAAUAAACCGUUUAAUAAUAAUAAUAAUAAUAAUAAAGAAAUACGCGUAUGGUACGUUUCUUCACGAU